rnacentral:sRNA from 1 species
AUGCGAAAGACGAACACCAUGAGAUUGCCGCCAACUUAAACCUAAUAGCCUGCUUCAUUGCACUUAUAACAUUGAUAUUUGGAAUUUAUGGAACGAUUAUGAAAACACUCUUUGUAAUUAGAAUGCAGAUGUUCAUACUGAUAUCAUUCUGCUUAGUUAAGAUAGUCAUGUGGAUAGUGUGUAAGAAUCUGUCCCCA